rnacentral:rRNA from 1 species
GAGUUUGAACCUGGCUCAGGAUGAACGCUGGCGGCGUGCUUAACACAUGCAAGUCGAACGAAGCAUAGGAGUGGAAUUUUUCGGAAGGAAACAACUAUGACUGAGUGGCGGACGGGUGAGUAACGCGUGGGUAACCUGCCUCAUACAGGGGGAUAACAGUUAGAAAUGACUGCUAAUACCGCAUAAGCGCACAAAACCGCAUGGUUUGGUGUGAAAAACUGAGGUGGUAUGAGAUGGACCCGCGUCUGAUUAGCUAGUUGGAGAGGUAACGGCUCACCAAGGCAACGAUCAGUAGCCGACCUGAGAGGGUGACCGGCCACAUUGGGACUGAGACACGGCCCAAACUCCUACGGGAGGCAGCAGUGGGGAAUAUUGCACAAUGGGGGAAACCCUGAUGCAGCAACGCCGCGUGAGUGAAGAAGUAUUUCGGUAUGUAAAGCUCUAUCAGCAGGGAAGAAGAGAGACGGUACCUGACUAAGAAGCCCCGGCUAACUACGUGCCAGCAGCCGCGGUAAUACGUAGGGGGCAAGCGUUAUCCGGAUUUACUGGGUGUAAAGGGAGCGUAGACGGCUUGAUAAGUCUGAAGUGAAAGGCCAAGGCUUAACCAUGGAACUGCUUUGGAAACUAUGAGGCUAGAGUGCUGGAGAGGUAAGCGGAA